rnacentral:rRNA from 1 species
GCUAGUCGUGGGUCACAUUCCACGUGAUCCGUGACGAAGUUAACACAUUAAGCACCCCGCCUGGGGAGUACGGUCGCAAGACUAAAACUCAAAGGAAUUGACGGGGGCCCGCACAAGCGGCGGAGCAUGCGGAUUAAUUCGAUGCAACGCGAAGAACCUUACCAAGGCUUGACAUAUACAGGAAAAGCGUAGAAAUACGCUCCCCGCAAGGUCUGUAUACAGGUGGUGCAUGGUUGUCGUCAGCUCGUGUCGUGAGAUGUUGGGUUAAGUCCCGCAACGAGCGCAACCCUCGUCCUAUGUUGCCAGCACGUAAUGGUGGGAACUCAUGGGAGACUGCCGGGGUCAACUCGGAGGAAGGUGGGGAUGACGUCAAAUCAUCAUGCCCCUUAUGUCUUGGGCUUCACGCAUGCUACAAUGGCCAGUACAAAGGGCUGCGAUACCGUAAGGUGGAGCGAAUCCCAUAAAGCUGGUCUCAGUUCGGAUUGAGGUCUGCAACUCGACCUCAUGAAGUCGGAGUCGCUAGUAAUCGUAGAUCAGCAACGCUACGGUGAAUACGUUCCCGGGCCUUGUACACACCGCCCGUCAAGUCACGAAAGUCGG